AACAGCUGCUGUGCCUCGGCGUGCGCAGUCCAUCUGGACUAACACCUUCAGCAGUUCUCCUCUCUGCCUGGCAGACUGGCCCAGCGGUGUGACAAGCCUCUUAGUUCACCACGGAGCCGUGGGGAAGUUGAGUCACGGAGAGAUGAUGUCCUGGAGGUCACCUGUUAAGCAGGGUGGAAAAGGUCCAGUCUGCUGGGAGGUCUUUGCAAGUCUCUUGUUCUCUCCAGAACCUCCUAACAAUCUACAGAACCUCAUUUGGAUCUAAAAUAAAACUGUCCAGAAAGCCAGAACAGUCAGGCCUUCGGAAACUGUGCUCUGCUGAAUGGUCCAUGUCCCCAGACACGUGUAUCUCUCACAGGUGUUUUCGUUAGAGCAGAACAAGGUGUCCUCUUGCUUCCAAAAAUCUGAGAAUUUGGUACCAAGAAGCUCAUCGUGACUAUGAGAUCGCAAUUGGUCCUCCAGCAUAAUCGAUGUGGGUUCAAAGACAGGGGCUGCAGUGAAAGUGGAACAGAAGAGAAUUUAGAGCCGUGGCUGGCAUGACUUUGGGAGCGCUUUCUCACACGUGUUACAACUCAGAGAGCUGCGUGAUUGAACCAAGGGCUCCUUCCCCCUGAGCAGUCAAGUAGAAACACGACAUUGGCAGCAUUGGUAACAGAAUAACCGGGAAUUGCUUCAAGAUCUGAGCUGUUAUUGCCCUCUGCUGACCGUUUGCUAUAUAGUGCCAGCACUUUAUUUUCCGCUAAGGUGCAAAGAUUUCCGAGAAUCUGUAGUAAACUGAAGGAGCCUCUCUUGGACAGCGAAUUAUUAUUAUUAUUAUUUGUUUCAUAUUUGGCUUCUCACUGUUGUAACUGGGUACAUAUCACUCAGUCCUCAUCACAGGUGAGUCCAAUCUGAGCAGUUGUGCCAUGGCCCUGGCUGCUCACAUAGCGACAACCAAUUU